rnacentral:rRNA from 1 species
UACGUAGGGGGCAAGCGUUGUCCGGAAUUAUUGGGCGUAAAGAGCGUGUAGGCGGUCCGGUAAGUCAGCUGUGAAAGUCAAGGGCUCAACCCUUGAAUGCCGGUUGAUACUGUCGGGCUAGAGUCCGGAAGAGGCGAGUGGAAUUCCCGGUGUAGCGGUGAAAUGCACAGAUAUCAGGAGGAACACCGGUGGCGAAGGCGGUUCUCUGGGAAUGUACUGACGCUGAGGAGCGAAAGUGUGGGGAGCGAACAGG